rnacentral:rRNA from 1 species
UACGUAGGGGGCAAGCGUUGUCCGGAAUCAUUGGGCGUAAAGCGCGUGUAGGCGGCCAGAAAAGUCCGCUGUGAAAACUCGAGGCUCAACUUCGAGCUGUCGGUGGAAACUUUCUGGCUAGAGUCCGGAAGAGGAGAAUGGAAUUCCUGGUGUAGCGGUGAAAAUGCGCAGAUAUCAGGAAGAACACCCGUGGCGAAGGCGGUUCUCUGGGACGGUACUGACGCUGAGACGCGAAAGCGUGGGGAGCGAACAGG